GUUUCCACCUCAUUUACAUAUAUGUGCUCGCGCACCGGCGUCCUACCGAUUCCCUCCUCUCUGCCACGCCACAUUUCACGCAUCCGCCUCAUUAUUAUUGGGCUCUUCGCCAAGCUGAGCCAUUCUCCCCCCUCCCCCGGCCACGUACGCAGACGGGAACACACGCUGCUACACCUUUUACAUCAUAGAAGGAUAUCAAGCAGCAACUCUAAGAGAGUGAGAGGGAGGGAGUACAUAUAUAUAUAUAUUAUAUCAAGGCUCAUCUGUUUGCUUUCACAUCGUUGCUACACCCUCUGUCGAGACAACGAACACGCCGCGCCGCUGUGCCUCACCGGUCGGGGAUUUUGGUGGCAUCUUUUUUUACGCUUUCCUUUCCUUCCCUUUUUUUCGUUGUGGCUGUGACCGUGCUCGCUUCUCUACAUCGACCCAAGCCCGAAAACGAAAAGCGCAACGCUACCCCAAGCCGCCUGCCUAGCAUGCGCACACGUAUACGGCCAAGGAAUAUCCAAUAAAAGAAACGUAGGCGAUAUCGCUGAAGCCCCCGUAACCCUGACUGAUUCUUGUCUGGUGAGUGCCAGGAUUGGCUGCUCAUGACUGUGUGGGAGUGAGGCACAUACAUACACGCACACAGACACAAAAUCAGGUAAAGCCAUUCGCUGUCAUGUGCAUGCCUUCCGCGCAGAGCAGCGUUCUCCAAGGCGGCGCGGCCACUGGGCCGCGGCGGCUGAGCGCGAUAGACCUGCAGCGGAUCACCGCCAUUUUGGAGGCAUGCGGUGUGUCAAAGGUGCAUGGAUCCACACACAUUUAUGCGCAUCCAGAGUCGAUCCACCUCAUCUCGCCUCGCGACCUGAGCUUCUUGGUGUUGCACGCUGACGUGCUUGCGACGCACACGGACUUGCUGUAUGAUGUGCGCGCCUUCACGGGCAUUCUGUGGGGCAUGAUGCAGCAUGCGGAUCGAGGAAUCGAGAGGGUGUUGCGCGCGGUCGAGGGCAACAGCGCGGCUGUUGCAGAGAGCGCGCGGGGUGGUAGCGUUGGUGGCACGCCGUCCUCGUCGUCCCCGGCACCGGCACCGGCGCACACAUUCGUGUACACGAAUGUGUCGAAGGUGUACUCGGCCAUGUUUCCGCACCUGGUGCAGGUUUUCCGGGUAGCGACGCUGCUGCGCGCGUAUGAGAGCACCGACGCGCGCGCAGAGGUGCGAGACACACGCCGCAUUGCACAGGUGGAUAUUGACGCGGUGGCCCGACUGGCGGGCCGUCUGAACCAUCUUUUCUUGUGUGAGGCGGGAGAGCGCUCGGCCGGGGCCCUCGGCGGUGCAGGCGCGCUGAACGUGACAGCAACUUACACGAACGUUGGCCAUCACCUCUUCCGCACCACCGAGAGCGCCCUCAGCUCUGUCUUGCUUCUCUUGUCAUCGCUGGCUGCUCGCCCUGGCAGCGACGCGGGGCCUAUUCUCCGCUACUUCCACGAUGUGGGCGCCUGGAAGGCGAGUGCACUGGGCAUCCUCAUUACCGAGAGUUAUAGCAUGUCGAUUCAGGCGGUGCUGUUUUCGCUGUUCCGGCGCAGCCGCGAGUUCGACAACGUCGAGGAGGUCGCCGCAAAGCUGCUCCUUCAACGACUCGCGUCGCGUCCGCCGUAUCAGUGGCGCACUUUCCGCUUGUUGUACUUCAGCGUGCAGGAUAUCGGUGCGAGCGACAUGCAAGCAGCAGAAGACCGCCAUGGCAGCAGUGCUUUCGGCCAGCUGCUCGUGUUCUGCCGUAUUCAGCACGCUCUUCAAUGGUGCCUCACCACAGACGGCCGUGAUAGCGCUGAUGAGCAUGCGACCGUGAAGUCGCUGCGUAAGGCUGUGUCAGCGCAAGUGCAGCGCGCCUGGUCGGAGCAGAGCAGCGCCGACAGAGCGGGAUCGCCGUCGCACAAGAGCAGAACCGACGCGCCGCCGCGACUCCUGUCCUACUACGAGCUCCUCGUCCUUGCAGCGCUGCAGGGGAUGCCAGAGGCAGACCUGACGAAGGACGCGGAGUUGCUACGGCGCGCUGAGCAGACGAAGCUGUCAGCCGAGCCGGAGGUGCUCACUCCCACCUUUCUGCGCAUGCUGAUCGCCUUCUGCUACACGGUUCCAGCGCCGACCGACCCGGCCCUCUCGCACGCGAUGCUGUCCACGUCGUCCACCUUGGCUCUGUACGAGUCGCUGGCAAAACACAUCUUCCAAAUUCCUUUGUGCGCGAGUGCGGCGGUUGCGGACGAGGUGAAUCAGCUGUUCGCCACCGCUGCUCUGCGUACCGACACGCUGGUGGACCUGUGUGUGUGGAGCGCCAUACACAACACGCGCGAAGACGAGCUGGAGCUGGCAGAAGGGGUGGCCGCGAAAGAAAACAGCGCAGCAGCGGCAGCAAACCCGGCGGUGGUGUCCCCAGCGCCGCACGCACGUGCCAGGGCUGGACCAGCAAAGACGGCGGGACUUCCUCUUCCACCGAUUCCAUCGCCGAGGGCUGCAGAGGUGAGCACCGAAGCAGCGAUGCCGUCCCUGCCACCACCUCCCACGCCUGCCACGGCGCUCUUCCACCUCAUGCGCCGUGAUGUGUCGCUUCUGUUCGCCGGUAACGAGGACGUGCUGCAGCACACGCCGGAGGCAGCGCGGGCGCGGGCGAAGAACUUCCCGUACGGCUUCCGCACCAUGACGCUCACGACGGUGCGCCUGCUCUUCGCUGCGCUGCGCACGGCGGAGUUGUAUCACCACAUCCUGCCUACCGACAUGCUGCCAGUCAUCGCGCAGCUGUUCGCUCUGCGCGCCUAUUACCCGCUGUCACCUUCAGAAACGGAGGCGGAGCGCAAGGCGGCUCGUCGUAUGCUGGCCUUGAUGCAGAAUACCUUGGCGCUUCUGCCACAAGAGAUGAAGGCGACGACCGUGAAUCAGCUUCUCUGCCGCACUCUGGUCCCCAUGAGCACGAUGACUGGGCAAGCAGACCAGCUCCAGCUCGCCUUGUUCGAGGCCUAUCUGCGCUCCAUGGCGACAGCGAGCGCCGCCAACGCGGUCACGGACGAGCUCAUGCUGCAGCACUGGGUCGACAUCGCGGUACCGGCCAUCACAAACCGGCACAGCGUCACGCUGUCAAUUGCUGGUCACGACUUCCUCAUCGCCGCCUUCCGUGCAGAGAAGUAUGUCAGCCCGCUGUUUGUCCCGACUUACAUCGCCCUCUAUGUCCCGAGUGUUGAGCUCUUCAGCACUGGCGGCAGCGUCGGCCAGAGGUCUACCUACUCACCGCUGCCCGUGAGCGUCAUUCAGCAUUUCGCGCGCAUGGUGCGUGCCGCCUGCCACGGAAUCGAGCGGUGCGACUCGACGGCGCUGGCGCGGCUCUUCGAGGAGGCCGCUAGCAGGGAGGGGGAGGCGACGAUGCCAGGCUCUGUGCAUGCCGCGGCGGCCUACAUGGCCAGCCUGUCUCCAGCGCAGCGAGCUGCACUGCGUAAGCUGACACCGACGAAUGCCGUUCUUCUCGUCGUCUCUGCCUUGUUUGACUGCCUUUGUCUGUUGUGGAACAACACGCCUGGGUACGUGAAGGUGGCACAGGACCUUUUCGUGGCCUACUUCUCUGGACUGUGCAACCUGUUGCAAUGCGCGAGCACACCAGUGUUGCAGCGCGUAUGCGCCUCGAUUGAGGCGAUCGAGGUGGAGCAUCUGCGCGGCUCCGGUAAUGUGCAGCUCCAGUUUCUCAAGUACGUGAGCUCGGUCGUCGACGCGGUCCAGGGACCGUCGAAGGUGGGCAUUGCCGAGUGGUUCCUGAAGAUGAACAAGCGUAUCCAAGAACAGAACUACGGGAAGCACUCGAAGCUGUAGCGCGGCUUGUGUCGGGUCGGAGUUUUGCGGGCAGCUCGGAAAGGAGAUGGCGGCCCAUUGCACGAGGCAUGAACCGGUCUCCGAGGGCGCCUCCCUCCCUCCUCGCCCUUGCGCGUGUUCUGCUACGGGGAGAAGAGCCGCAUGUAGUGGUGUUGACAGCUGAUGAGCACUCGGAUGACAUACCGUUACGACCGCGUGUGCUGCGGCAACGGCCUCCUCUACCCCUGCGCCUGUUGCCGAUAGUGCGUUGGUGACUUUUGUGGUGCCUUGCCGUGGUGUCCCCCUCGCCCUGUCUCUCUUUUCUUUUUUUUUGGGGGGGGGGAGGGGACUUCUCUCGCCUCUACUCACGUGUGGUGUGCUGUGCUCGAGGGGAACAACAGAAUAUAUAUAUAUAUAUAACGAGGGUAGAGCGCAAUGAGUGUUUGGUGCUGAAAAAGGGACGCUGCGCACCUCUCGCGCGAGGAGAGGGUUGUCUUUUUCACGCGAUGGAGAAUGUGGCGUGUAUGUUCGUCUCUUGAGGUCCCUCCACGCGAUGAGCAUGUCCCCGGCCUGAUCCAUAUCUAUC
rnacentral:misc_RNA from 1 species